rfam:Triticum urartu cultivar G1812 contig272008, whole genome shotgun sequence.
AAAGUACUCCCUCCGUCCCAAAAUACUUAUCGGAGAAAUGGAUAAAAAUAGAUGUAUCUACAACUAAAAUACAUUCAGAUACAUCUAUUUGUCCGACAAGUAUUUUUGAACAAAGGAAGUACAUA